CUUCUUCCUUCUUCUGGCUGGUGGUGGUGCAAGGAGUAGGAACAAUGAGAGAGACAACCAUGCGGACUCCAAGAUGUACAGAAAAUUAGCUAAGCCACCCAAACUGCCCUGUGUCUGAAAAAUGGCAGAGGAGAAAAGAAAGAGCCUGGAGAGGAGCUCAGAGGGACCCUGUAUCGGCAGAAGUCGUAGCUGUUGGGAGUAACCCACACCAGAGAAGUUCAUUAAGGAGGAACCCCAUGUUGGAGCAGGGGAAGAAUGCCAGGAGUCGCCCUCAUCUGAGAAGAGAGAAGAAGCAGAGCCCAUCUGUGAGAGACUGACCACAUCCCCCAUUCCCUGCCCCCCUGAGCCAUUGAGGGGGGAGGAGGUAGAGAUAUCAGGAGCAGUUGGGCCCAGGAAGAAAGGAGGGAUGGGGGAGGGAGAUCUUAAA